AUUGAACGCUGGCGGCAUGCCUUACACAUGCAAGUCGAACGGCAGCACGGGGGCAACCCUGGUGGCGAGUGGCGAACGGGUGAGUAAUGCAUCGGAACGUGCCCCGUACGCGGGGGAGUAACCAGUCGAAAGACUGGCUAAUACCGCAUACGCUCCACGGAGGAAAGACAGGGGAUCGCAAGACCUUGCACUAUGGGAGCGGCCGAUGCCCGAUUAGCUAGUUGGUGAGGUAAAGGCUCACCAAGGCGACGAUCGGUAGCUGGUUUGAGAGAACGACCAGCCACACUGGGACUGAGACACGGCCCAGACUCCUACGGGAGGCAGCAGUGGGGAAUAUUGGACAAUGGGCGCAAGCCUGAUCCAGCGAUGCCGCGUGUGUGAAGGAAGGCC
rnacentral:rRNA from 1 species